GACUUGGUGGUUCAGUGGUAGAAUUCUUGCCUUCCAUGUAGGAGACCUGGAUUCUAUUUCCGGCCAGUACA
rnacentral:tRNA from 1 species